rnacentral:rRNA from 1 species
GACGAACGCUGGCGGCGUGCUUAACACAUGCAAGUCGAACGAUGAAGCCUAGCUUGCUAGGUGGAUUAGUGGCGAACGGGUGAGUAAUACGUGAGUAACCUACCUUUAACUCUGGGAUAAGCCUGGGAAACUGGGUCUAAUACCGGAUACGACCAAUCUCCGCAUGGGGUGUUGGUGGAAAGCGUUAUGUAGUGGUUAUAGAUGGGCUCACGGCCUAUCAGCUUGUUGGUGAGGUAACGGCUCACCAAGGCGACGACGGGUAGCCGGCCUGAGAGGGUGACCGGCCACACUGGGACUGAGACACGGCCCAGACUCCUACGGGAGGCAGCAGUGGGGAAUAUUGCACAAUGGGCGCAAGCCUGAUGCAGCGACGCCGCGUGAGGGAUGACGGCCUUCGGGUUGUAAACCUCUGUUAGCAGGGAAGAAGAGAAAUUGACGGUACCUGCAGAGAAAGCGCCGGCUAACUACGUGCCAGCAGCCGCGGUAAUACGUAGGGCGCGAGCGUUGUCCGGAAUUAUUGGGCGUAAAGAGCUUGUANGCGGUUUGUCGCGUCUGCUGUGAAGGCCGGGGCUUAACCCCGUGUAUUGCAGUGGGUACGGGCAGACUAGAGUGCAGUAGGGGAGACUGGAAUUCCUGGUGUAGCGGUGGAAUGCGCAGAUAUCAGGAGGAACACCGAUGGCGAAGGCAGGUCUCUGGGCUGUAACUGACGCUGAGAAGCGAAAGCAUGGGGAGCGAACAGGAUUAGGUACCCUGGUAGUCCAUGCCGUAAACGUUGGGCACUAGGUGUGGGGGACAUUCCACGUUUUCCGCGCCGUAGCUAACGCAUUAAGUGCCCCGCCUGGGGAGUACGGCCGCAAGGCUAAAACUCAAAGAAAUUGACGGGGGCCCGCACAAGCGGCGGAGCAUGCGGAUUAAUUCGAUGCAACGCGAAGAACCCUACCAAGGCUUGACAUAUACUGGACCGCAUCAGAGAUGGUGUUUCCCUUCGGGGCUGGUAUACAGGUGGUGCAUGGUUGUCGUCAGCUCGUGUCGUGAGAUGUUGGGUUAAGUCCCGCAACGAGCGCAACCCUCGUUCUAUGUUGCCAGCACGUUAUGGUGGGGACUCAUAGGAGACUGCCGGGGUCAACUCGGAGGAAGGUGGGGAUGACGUCAAAUCAUCAUGCCCCUUAUGUCUUGGGCUUCACGCAUGCUACAAUGGCCGGUACAGAGGGUUGCGAUACUGUGAGGUGGAGCUAAUCCCUAAAAGCCGGUCUCAGUUCGGAUUGGGGUCUGCAACUCGACCCCAUGAAGUCGGAGUCGCUAGUAAUCGCAGAUCAGCAACGCUGCGGUGAAUACGUUCCCGGGCCU